rnacentral:rRNA from 1 species
AGAUUAAGUUAUUAAGUGCGCACGGUGGAUGCCUUGGCACUAGAAGCCGAUGAAGGACGUUACUAACGACGAUAUGCUUUGGGGAGCUGUAA